UGGGCUUAAAGUGUCCGUAGCCGGUUUCGUAAGCUCCUGGUAAAAUCGGGUAGCUUAACUAUUCGUAUGCUAGGAAUACUGCGGUACUAGAGGGCGGGAGAGGUCUGAGGUACUACAGGGGUAGGGGUGAAAUCUUAUAAUCCUUGUAGGACCACCAGUGGCGAAAGCGUCAGACUGGAACGCGCCUGACGGUGAGGGACGAAAGCCAGGGGAGCGAACCGGAUUAGAUACCCGGGUAGUCCUGGCCGUAAACGAUGCGCACUAGGUGAUGGUGCGGCUAUGAGCCGCAUCAGUGUCGUAGGGAAACCGUUAAGUGUGCCGCCUGGGAAGUACGGUCGCAAGGCUUAGACUUAAAGGAAUUGGCGGGGGAGCACCACAAGGGGUGAAGCCUGCGGUUCAAUUGGACUCAACGCCGGGCAACUUACCAGGGGAGACAGCAGAAUGAGGGUCAGGUUGACGUCCUUACCUGACAAGCUGAGAGGAGGU
rnacentral:rRNA from 1 species